GAGCCUGGAGAAUAAGAGGCAGCCAGAUUUGAUCAUAGGAAAGGGAGGAUAGCUCUGGUUCCCUUGAUCAAGAGCCCUUCAUUAGAAUCAAAGUACCUCCCUUGAAGGAAAAGACUAGUGUAAAAUGUACAAUUUGCAAAGUAGAAAGAUCUACAUAGGGUUUAGAGCUUUUAUGUCAAUACUGUAUAACAAUAACUGCUAUUUUCAAAUAGUUAUUUUGAGUACUCUAUUUGAAUUGUUAAAAGUUUCUGAAUACAGCCUCUCCUCACUUAACAAUGGAGUUCCGUUCCUAAGACCAUGUUGGUAAGUGAAUUUGUCGCUAAGUAAGGAGCAUACUACAAUGGUAAAGGGUUUGUGUCAACCAUCAUUGAGACUGUUUUAAUGUCACCUUUGCAUCAUUUAUAGCAUUUCUGGGAUAUUUUUAAAUGUUUAUACAGUAGUGUAUUGUAUACUGUAAUAAACAGAAUAGAGAAAAAUCAGCUCUUAAUAUACAUUAUUUAGGUAUGCAUACUGGCCAGAGAGCCUGUCGUAAGUACGAGUCGUUGGUAAACGAGCGCAUGACUAAGUGAGGAAAGGCCGUAUUUAAUAUUUUUAAAUUUAGAGACUUUACUGUAUAUCAGGCAUUUAAUAUUUAUUCCCUUUCAGGAUGAUCCAAUGGCUUACAAUAAUACUAAAGACAACAGCUGUAACAUUAAUCUUCUAAGUUAUAUCUUAGCAUCUUAUAAAGAAAGAGUAUCAUAAUGUUGAGGGAAACAACGAAUGGUCAGUGAUUAGAGAUCAGUCAAGAGUGAAUCAAACUCGGGGAGAACAACAGUUGAAAAGUGAACAAGAGGAGAGAGAAUGGCAACACAAAGCAAAACAAGACAAGAACGAUUAAAGCUUCAAGAAAUGAAAGGAAGCUCCAAGAAAAAUGGAAACAGAUGAAAGACAGAAAGUUAGACAGAACUGCAGGAUUUUGAAAAUGCUAAAUAGAUGAGAAAGUAAUUCAUGACUUAGUAACAUUAAAUAUCUGGCUUCUGUUGAGUGAUACAUAUUUUAGAUACUUCGGUUCUAAAAGAUUGUACAAGAGCCCUUUACUAGCUUCGUCACUCUUUGUCCCCCCACACCCUUGAAUACAGGACAGGAAAAAAAAAGAACUGCCUUAUCCAGUGAAAGCUGACUAUAGGGACUAGAAACCCUAAUCUCCCCAAAAUUUCAUUUCAAGAAAAUACUAAAUGCACUGAGCCUGUGAAACUUCCACCCCAUCCUACUGGGCUGAGAGUGAAGGAAAAUCAAAUAGGACUCGCAAUAAAUUUGUUAUAACUUAAUCUUUAUUUUUAUAAAAGCAAAAGUGCUAAGCCUGUAUGAAUUAAAGAGCUGCACUUUUAAAUUUCUUGCAGAUAUUUUUUCAAUACUUGUAUUAUGCUGUAUCAAAUGCCACUCAGUCUUCAAGCAAAGACACUGUGUGAUCCCGAUAAUUUAAAUUGAAACAAAUGUCAAUUUUUGUGCUUGUUCCUCCAUAUGUCAUCAUCUGCAAAAGAAAAGAAAAUACAAUACUGUACUUC